rnacentral:rRNA from 1 species
GUCUACAGCCAUGCCACCCUGAACAAGCCCAAUCCUGUCUGAUCUGGGAAGCUAAGCAGGGUCGGGCCUGGUUAGUACUUGGAUGGGAGACCACUUAGGAAUAUCAGAUGCUGUAGGCG